AAGGACUUUGAAAAGAGAGUUAAAAGUGCCUGAACUUGCUGAAAGGAAAGCGGAUGGAACCAGUUUUGCUUGGUGAGAUUGUCGCACGCAGCAAUGAUCACCUUCUAUUCCAGCGAAAGCGGGGCGGUGGGCUGUGAUUUGUUCGGUGUGAUGUUUCUUGCCUUGUGUGUCAUCAUCAGUUUGGAGGUGGGGACAACUCUUGGGACCUGGUAGCUC
rnacentral:rRNA from 1 species